AGUAAGUGAUAUUUCGGAACAGAAUCUAGUUCCAUCGAUACCAAUGUAUUCUAGUAAUACAUUCGUAUCGAUGGAACUAGAUUCUGUUCCGAAAUAUCACUUACUCG
rnacentral:miRNA from 1 species